AGCAAACAGGAUUAGAUACCCUGGUAGUCCACGCUGUAAACGAUGUCGAUUUGGAGGUUGUUCCCUUGAGGAGUGGCUUCCGGAGCUAACGCGUUAAAUCGACCGCCUGGGGAGUACGGCCGCAAGGUUAAAACUCAAAUGAAUUGACGGGGGCCCGCACAAGCGGUGGAGCAUGUGGUUUAAUUCGAUGCAACGCGAAGAACCUUACCUACUCUUGACAUCCAGAGAAUUUAGCAGAGAUGCUUUAGUGCCUUCGGGAACUCUGAGACAGGUGCUGCAUGGCUGUCGUCAGCUCGUGUUGUGAAAUGUUGGGUUAAGUCCCGCAACGAGCGCAACCCUUAUCCUUUGUUGCCAGCACAUUAUGGUGGGAACUCAAAGGAGACUGCCGGUGAUAAACCGGAGGAAGGUGGGGAUGACGUCAAGUCAUCAUGGCCCUUACGAGUAGGGCUACACACGUGCUACAGUGGCGUAUACAAAGAGAAGCGACCUCGCGAGAGCAAGCGGAACUCAUAAAGUACGUCGUAGUCCGGAUUGGAGUCUGCAACUCGACUCCAUGAAGUCGGAAUCGCUAGUAAUCGUAGAUCAGAAUGCUACGGUGAAUACGUUCCCGGGCCUUGUACACACCGCCCGUCACACCAUGGGAGUGGGUUGCAAAAGAAGUAGGUAGCUUAACCUUCGGGAGGGCGCUUACCACUUUGUGAUUCAUGACUGGGGUGAAGUCGUAACAAGGUAACCA
rnacentral:rRNA from 1 species